ACUUAGGUAGCCUGGGUUUCACUGUUUGUUUGUGGGUGAUUGUCUAUGUUAGUUGCUUGUGUCAGCACAGUUCUCAUUAUAGCGUCACGGUCAUUAUUAGUUUAUUGUUUUGGUAUAGUUUGUGUUCAGUGCUUUCUUUUAUUAAAAACUUUAUCAUGAACACAUACCACGCUGCAUUUUGAUCCGUUCCUUACGACGAUCGUGACAGUAUUGCCCUGGCUGCCGUGCCAGAAUGCUUAACUCAUUGUUUUUUUCUCAUGUAGGCCUUCCUCUACUGGUUGUUUAGCGAUUAGUUAUUUUUGAGGUUACUUUGGAAUCAUUGAACCAAAACCAAACCAAUCACAGGUUUCGGUUUCCAUUCUUUUUUUAAAACAUUAAAUGCAUUGUUGAAUGCUGUAACAACACAGUCUAAACAGUUGAACUAAACUCAUGAAGUGUUAAAAAAUGAUGUUCUUCUAGAAUCAGUGGAUAUAUUUAAUUAAGUUAAAUGAUCAAGAAUUGCUGUAAAUAUCACAGUGGACCUUUUAAUGUCCCAUUUCCCUUGUUUAAUCUCAGUAUGGAAUGGCAAUGAUAAGUGAGGUAAAUGGCACAAUAUAAAAGUGUAAAGUGUAUGCCGUAUGUUCACCUUAUAACACGGAGAAUGAUAGUCGUCAUUGCAAAAAAAGCAUGGAUACAAAUACAGAAUGUAAACUCUGGUAUUUAGUAAGCUGUAAUUAUUUUAAUAGGGACCAGCAGGAGAGAGCAGACUCACCGGUUCCCAGCUGUGUGUCCAUGAAGAGUGACCAGUCAAUAACAACUCCAUUAUUAUUUCAGUGAGGGAGUCUUUCCUACUGAACAGAGGAGGGAUCAGAGUCUGAGACUAACAGUCAUCAAACAGACCUGGCGUCCAUAGCCAAGUUGUUUGAAGACAAGUCCCUCUCAUAUCUAAAGUCUCAUCUGAAGAAGUAUAGAAUAAUUCUGUGUCCAGAUUACCCAGGGUCAGUGGGAGGAUGAGGACGGGAUGGAUGCUGAAGAUCAGGAGCAGGAGAAGAAUGCCAGCAAAGGGGCUCUGAAGAUCACAAUUCAUGUCCUGAAGAGUAAUAAACCAGAAAGAGUUUGCAAGACACACUGGAA